UGGGGAAUAUUGCACAAUGGGGGAAACCCUGAUGCAGCGACGCCGCGUGAACGAAGAAGGUAUUCGUAUCGUAAAGUUCUGUCCUAUGGGAAGAUAAUGACAGUACCAUAGAAGAAAGCUCCGGCUAAAUACGUGCCAGCAGCCGCGGUAAUACGUAUGGAGCGAGCGUUGGCCGGAAUUAUUGGGCGUAAAGGGUACGCAGGCGGUUUAAUAAGUCGAAUGUUAAAGAUCGGGGCUCAACCCCGCAAAGCAUUGGAAACUGAUAAACUUGAGUAGUGGAGAGGAAAGUGGAAUUCCUAGUGUAGUGGUGAAAUACGUAGAUAUUAGGAGGAAUACCAGUAGCGAAGGCGACUUUCUGGACACAAACUGACGCUGAGGUACGAAAGCGUGGGGAGCAAACAGG
rnacentral:rRNA from 1 species